ACCAAGGUCCACUUCCAGCAGACAGCAAACAAUUAUGGAGCUUAAUGGAGCAAGCUUUUGCUAGUGGAGUUAUCCAUAUAUGCCACUUUUAUUUUUAUUUUUAUUUUCUUAAUUUCACCCUUGUAAACUCCUAUAUAAAGGAGUCUUUGCUUCAGUUGUAAACCAAGUUCUCAUUCUCCCAUUCUCCUACUCUUUCAUUCAUAUCUCCUCUUACAUUCUCUCCAGUCCUUGUAAUCGAGAACAUUGCUACAAUCUCUUUUUAAGUAAGUUUUUAAUAAAUAAAGUUUUAAUUAUAUUUUUCUUGUUUCAUUUUCUCGUUUUAGUAUUAUGCUUUAUGUUUAAGUGGCUGGUCUAACCGCCCAUAUUUCUGUUUUAUUUUUAAGUUAUAUUUCAAUCUGUAUCAUAUAUGUUUUAAUUUACUUUUUAUUAUAAAUGUUUAAUUAUGCUUUCUCCACGAUCGUUGUCUGAUGGUAAAUCUUUUUUCUUUUUUUAUUUAUUUAUUAAAAACUCUAUUUGAUAUGCAGAUUUUUCAGAUCUGGAAGACUUCUGGGACGACUUACCUGUUAGUCGUCUAAAAUAUAAUGCACUAGUUGUGGAGGAAUGAUC
rnacentral:lncRNA from 1 species